CCUUUAUUCCAGUCUGCUGGUGCUGGCUCUGCCCCUGAUAUGCCUCCUUGGCUGACAUCAUCAGAAGUAAUGAUCUCAGCCAAUCACAAUGCUUUCCCAUCAGAUGAUCGUCAAUUCUGAUGAUCUCAGCUAGGCAGGCGGGCUGGGGGAGAAGCCAAACGCCACCCUUGCCAAUCAGCAUCUCCUCAUAGAGAUGCAUUGAAUCAGUGCACGUCUACGAGGAAAGUUUAAGUGUCUCCAUGCAGCGGGUGGAGGCACGGUGUGCAGCACUGACCCAGGAAGCACCUCUAGC